rnacentral:rRNA from 1 species
UAGCUACAGGCUUAACACAUGCAAGUCGAGGGGCAGCAUGGUCUUAGCUUGCUAAGGCCGAUGGCGACCGGCGCACGGGUGAGUAACACGUAUCCAACCUGCCGUCUACUCUUGGACAGCCUUCUGAAAGGAAGAUUAAUACAAGAUGGCAUCAUGAGUCCGCAUGUUCACAUGAUUAAAGGUAUUCCGGUAGACGAUGGGGAUGCGUUCCAUUAGAUAGUAGGCGGGGUAACGGCCCACCUAGUCUUCGAUGGAUAGGGGUUCUGAGAGGAAGGUCCCCCACAUUGGAACUGAGACACGGUCCAAACUCCUACGGGAGGCAGCAGUGAGGAAUAUUGGUCAAUGGGCGAGAGCCUGAACCAGCCAAGUAGCGUGAAGGAUGACUGCCCUAUGGGUUGUAAACUUCUUUUAUAAAGGAAUAAAGUCGGGUAUGGAUACCCGUUUGCAUGUACUUUAUGAAUAAGGAUCGGCUAACUCCGUGCCAGCAGCCGCGGUAAUACGGAGGAUCCGAGCGUUAUCCGGAUUUAUUGGGUUUAAAGGGAGCGUAGAUGGAUGUUUAAGUCAGUUGUGAAAGUUUGCGGCUCAACCGUAAAAUUGCAGUUGAUACUGGAUAUCUUGAGUGCAGUUGAGGCAGGCGGAAUUCGUGGUGUAGCGGUGAAAUGCUUAGAUAUCACGAAGAACUCCGAUUGCGAAGGCAGCCUGCUAAGCUGCAACUGACAUUGAGGCUCGAAAGUGUGGGUAUCAAACAGGAUUAGAUACCCUGGUAGUCCACACGGUAAACGAUGAAUACUCGCUGUUUGCGAUAUACUGCAAGCGGCCAAGCGAAAGCGUUAAGUAUUCCACCUGGGGAGUACGCCGGCAACGGUGAAACUCAAAGGAAUUGACGGGGGCCCGCACAAGCGGAGGAACAUGUGGUUUAAUUCGAUGAUACGCGAGGAACCUUACCCGGGCUUAAAUUGCAGAUGAAUUACGGUGAAAGCCGUAAGCCGCAAGGCAUCUGUGAAGGUGCUGCAUGGUUGUCGUCAGCUCGUGCCGUGAGGUGUCGGCUUAAGUGCCAUAACGAGCGCAACCCUUGUUGUCAGUUACUAACAGGUUCCGCUGAGGACUCUGACAAGACUGCCAUCGUAAGAUGUGAGGAAGGUGGGGAUGACGUCAAAUCAGCACGGCCCUUACGUCCGGGGCUACACACGUGUUACAAUGGGGGGUACAGAGGGUCGCUACCACGCGAGUGGAUGCCAAUCCCCAAAACCUCUCUCAGUUCGGACUGGAGUCUGCAACCCGACUCCACGAAGCUGGAUUCGCUAGUAAUCGCGCAUCAGCCACGGCGCGGUGAAUACGUUCCCGGGCCUUGUACACACCGCCCGUCAAGCCAUGGGAGCCGGGGGUACCUGAAGUGCGUAACCGCGAGGAGCGCCCUAGGGUAAAACUGGUGACUGGG